UUAAGUUCUCAGGGCGGGGUGAAAGUCCCCACCGGCGGUGAAGGCUUCGGCCUCAAGCCCGCGAGCGCCUUCCGGAAACGGGAGGGUCAGCAGAUCCGGUGCGAUUCCGGGGCCGACGGUUACAGUCCGGAUGGAAGAGAACGUAC
rnacentral:ncRNA from 2 species